rnacentral:tRNA from 1 species
GCCCGGUUGGCUCAGUCAGUGGAGCAUGAGACUCUUGAUCUUGGGGUUGUGAGUUCCAGCCUCACAUUGGCUG